rnacentral:lncRNA from 1 species
UAAAAUUAAUAAAUUUAUUAGAUAUAUAUUGAUUAAUGGGCAAAUGUGCAACUAGGGUUAUUUUUCAGAAAAUAAUUAUUUGGACAUCACCCAAUUGCAUUUGACUUGAGUUUCGUCUUUGAAUUGAGAAGCUGCCAUCAUCUCUACAAUAGGAACCAUUUAGGAAAGUUACACUUUACCCAUGUGGUUUGCUCCGAAGAGACACCACACGAACACAUAAC